CAUGACAACUCCCGGUAAGGACAGCGGAGUAGAGGAAACUCUUGCCAACUCCGAAACUAGUUCAACAACGGAGAUUACAGAAGACACGACAAAUACCUUAGAGCAAGGACGCGGUGAGACAGCUCCACAAACAACGGGCAAAGGAACAACGAG